rnacentral:rRNA from 1 species
ACGAACGCUGGCGGCGUGCCUAAUACAUGCAAGUUGAGCGCUGAAGGUUGGUACUUGUACCAACUGGAUGAGCAGCGAACGGGUGAGUAACGCGUGGGGAAUCUGCCUUUGAGCGGGGGACAACAUUUGGAAACGAAUGCUAAUACCGCAUAAAAACUUUAAACACAAGUUUUAAGUUUGAAAGAUGCAAUUGCAUCACUCAAAGAUGAUCCCGCGUUGUAUUAGCUAGUUGGUGAGGUAAAGGCUCACCAAGGCGAUGAUACAUAGCCGACCUGAGAGGGUGAGCGGCCACAUUGGGACUGAGACACGGCCCAAACUCCUACGAGAGGCAGCAGUAGGGAAUCUUCGGCAAUGGACGAAAGUCUGACCGAGCAACGCCGCGUGAGUGAAGAAGGUUUUCGGAUCGUAAAACUCUGUUGGUAGAGAAGAACGUUGGUGAGAGUGGAAAGCUCAUCAAGUGACGGUAACUACCCAGAAAGGGACGGCUAACUACGUG